rnacentral:lncRNA from 1 species
CUGCAGGAGCCGGCUCUGGGUGCAUCCAGAAGAGCUCUGGGUGUUCCCAGCAGCACUUUUUGUGUUCCUGACUCCCCAAUUUCCCUUCAGGAAAGGCUCUGGGUGUUCCCAGCAGCCCUUUUUGGGGUGCUGAUCCCCAAUUUCCCUGCAGGAAAGGCUCUGGGUACACACAGAGGGGCUCUGGGUGUUCCCACCAGCCCUUUUUGGUUCCUGACUCCUCGAUUUCCGUUCAGGAAAGGCUCUGGGUGUUCCUGACUCCCCAGUUUCCCUGCAGGAAAGGCUCUGGGUGUUCCUGACUCCCCAGUUUCCCUUCAGGAAAGGCUCUGGGUGUCCCCACCAGCCCUGUUUUGGUUCCUGACUCCCCGAUUUCCCUGCAGGAGCCCCGGCAGUGCCCGGCAGGGGCGGCUGCCCGGCCCCACGGCUCGGGGACAGCCCCAGGGGCUGGGGCAGCUGCAGCGCUGGGAGAAGCUGGAGCAGAGGCAGCAGAAAAAGCUGGAGCAGCAGGAGCAGGAGCAUCUGGAGAUGGAGCAUCAGGAGAAGAGGCAGCAGAAAAAGCUGCAGCGUCAGGAACAGAAUCAACUGGAGCAGAGGAAGCAGAAAAAACUGAAACAUCUGGAGAUGGAGCAUCUGGAGCAGAGGAAGCUGAAUCAGGUGGAAGAGAGGCAGCAGAAUCAUCUGGAGAUUCGGCACCAGGAGCAGAGGAGGCAGAAAAAGCCGGAUAAGAGACAGCAGAAGAAGCAGAAUAAUCUGGAACAGAAUUGUCUGGAGCAGAAUCACCUGGAGACAGAGCAGAGGAAGCAGAAAAAGCCGGAUAAGAGACAGCAGAAGAAGCAGAAUUGUGUGGAACAGAAUUGUCUGGAGCAGAAUGCCCCGGAGCAGAGGCAGCAGAAUUUCCUGGAGCAGAAUGAUCUGGAGACAGAGCAGAGGAAGCAGAAAAAG